rnacentral:rRNA from 1 species
AUGGAGGGCGCGGCACAGACAGUUUUGAUCAAUGUUGGGCAGCUGGUUGGCCAGGAGUUCCGGCAGCUCCGUGCCGUCGGCGGCGAGGUCGCUGAGCUGAAGGACGAGCUGGCCACCAUGAACACCCUCCUGCGCAUGCAGUCCGAAGCCGAUGGCAGUGGCUUGAGCCACUUCGUCCGGGAGUGGAUGAAGCAACUCCAGGAGCUCGCCUACGACACGGAGGACUGCGUCGACCUUUACUUGUUUCGCAUCAGGUGCCGGCAGGGCGACGGUUUCCUCCUCUGGUCCAAGCGACUGCUGGCAACGCUUUUCCCUCGCCAUCGCCUCGCCGGCGAGAUCACGGCCCUCCGCCUACGUGCUGUUUCCAUCAGCGAGCGCCAUGCUCGUUACGGCGUCAGCAUGGACCUGCUUGGCCGCAGUGCUUCUUCUUCUGAGGCUUCCCAGGCAGUGGUGGCGUCAGCACGUGCGCUCCCGCUCCGCCCUCACAACGACCACAACCAGUUCCAGUUGGUCGGCAUCAAGGCCCAGGCUGCGGAGCUGGCCAUCAAGGUGAAUGCCUCAGUGGGUGAGGACGACAAAAAGAUCAAAGUGUUCUCCAUCGUGGGCUUUGGAGGGCUCGGGAAGACCACCCUGGCCAUGGAGGUAUGCCGGCAGCUCGAGAUGGAGUUCGAGCGCCAGGCGGUAGUGUCUGCGUCGCAGUCAUUUGGCAGCAAGGACGUCGAGGGAUUACUGAAGCACCUGUUUCGGCAGAUACUGCGGCUGAAGUCUCAGCCCGUGGCUCCUAAUAACAAGAACGGACAGCCCAAAGAGACCUCGGAGCGCGUGGACCUGAAGUGCGAGGAAGCCUCCUCGGAAGAGGCAGCCAAGAAAGCCUUGGAAGAGGGAGCCAAGCACGCGGCUGAUGUAGCGAAAAAGCUAGCGGAACUUCUUGGUAAAAUUGACAGCAUGAAUGUAGGCCAGCUACAAAGCGAGGUCGGAGAGAGUCUUCGGGACAGCAGGUUCCUAAUUUUGAUCGAUGAUGUAUGGAGCAAAGCAGCCUGGGAGGCAAUCUGGUCCAAGUUACCAAGCAGCAACUGCAGCAGUAGAAUCAUUGUGACCACUCGGAUAGAUACCGUGGCAAAAGCAUGCAGCAAUGUUGGUGACUAUUACAUCCAUCAUAUGAAGGCCCUAGAAGAGGAAGAGUCCAAACGAUUGUUCCGGAGCAAAGCAUUUGGCUCAAUUUCCGAAGAUUCUUGCCCGAAGGAGAAGGAAUUGGAAGGUGAAAUUGAAACAAUUUUAAAAAAAUGUGGCGGGCUACCAUUAGCCAUUGUUAGUAUUGCAAGCCUUUUGGCAAGCUAUACACAUCCAGAAGGGAAGAAGAUGUGGCAAAUAGUUGGCAGAUCAACUGGUUCACAGAUGGACAUCAACCCUACCUUGGAGGGGAUGAGGCAGAUACUCACACUUAGCUAUGACCACUUACCCCAUCACCUCAAGGCUUGCAUGAUGUAUCUUAGCAUUUUCCCGGAGGAUUAUAUUAUUUGUAAGGAUCGGCUGUUGAAGAGAUGGAUCGCUGAAGGUUUGAUUCCCGAGAAGCGAGGGAUGACCCAGAUGGAGCUUGCUGAAGCCUACUUCAGUGAGUUGAUGAGUAGAAGCAUGAUUGACCAAGGUAUCGAUAUAGUCAACAUGUACCAGUGGAGGGAAGAGACGUGCCGAGUGCACGACAUGAUGCUUGAGGUCAUUGUGUCCAAAUCCCUAGAGUCCAACUUUGUUAGCCUGGUAGGUGGGCAAUAUGAAGGGAUGUCAUAUGAUAGGAUUCGCCGUCUUACCAUACAUGGUGGAGUAGAGGCAGCCCAGGAGUUAUCGUCAAAGAAAAUGGCACUACAUCAUGGUACAUGGAAUGGCAUCAAGGGGAUGACUAUGCAGCAUGUCCGGUCUCUGAGCAUAUUUGAUUCUGAAGUGCCCAAGUUGCUUGCUCGUCUAGGAGAGUUCACCUUGCUAAGGGUACUUGACAUGGAAGACUGCAAAGGCCUAGAAGAAAAGUAUCUGAAGCAUAUCUGCCGGAUGUACCUUUUAAGGUUCUUGAGCUUGAAGGGUACAGAUAUCAAGCAGAUGCCUUCAAGAAUUGGGAAUCUCGAGCAUUUGCAGACCCUUGAUGUACGUCAAACACAACUUACAAGUCUGCCAGAAACAGUUAUAAAGCUAGAGAAGCUGGAGCACCUGUUGUUCACCACCAAAGGUAAUUUAUGGUCUGCGUGGAUGGCGCCCCGAGGGAUCAACAGAAUGAAGGCACUACGCCACCUGAAUAAAGUGAUUGUGAUAGACCCGAUGGUCGCCAAGGAGAUUGGUGAAUUGGAUCAAUUGCAAGAGUUGUGUAUCUAUGUUGACUCAAGACAUGAAAUUCAUCCAGAUGUUCCCGAAGGGCUUGCCUGCUCCCUGAGCAUGAUGUACUCGCUCGAGUGGCUGGACAUUGGAAAUUUCGGUUGCGAGCUAUGGCCUUUCGUACAGGUGUUGAAUUUUCUACAUGGGGUAGAGACGCCACCACGGCUUCUCCGUUACCUUAGGAUCUGCGGCCGCAUUGACAAAUUGCCAGACUGGGUGGGGUCACUCACUAACCUUAUUGAGUUUGACAUAGCGUGGACAUACCUUGAUGGUGACCAACUAUUCAACGUCCUGUGUAAGUUGCCCAACCUGGAGAGGCUGACCCUGGGGCCAUACUUCAUAAGACACGUUGAAUAUAUGGUUGCAGGCAGUAACCAGUCCUUUCGCGAGCUCAAGGAACUUACUCUGGGCUAUUCUCCUGAAGUUCCCCGAGUUUAUAUAUUUAAGGAAGGAUGCAUGCCAAAGCUGGAGACACUUGUGCUGAAUUAUGGUGACCAGUGGAAGAAAAUGGAGGGUAUCGAGCACUUGACAAAGCUUAAAGAGGUGCAGAUCGGUGGCAUUACCAUGGAAGGUGCAGUGGCUGAGACACGAGAGCUGCUGAAGGAGGAGAAUGAGAGGCAACGCAAUAAUGGGUCCGAACAGAUCAGAGUUGUAAUGGGGUAG